rnacentral:rRNA from 1 species
AUUGAACGCUGGCGGCAGGCCUAACACAUGCAAGUCGAACGAGUGGCGGACGGGUGAGUAAUGUCUGGGAAACUGCCUGAUGGAGGGGGAUAACUACUGGAAACGGUAGCUAAUACCGCAUACCAUCGGAUGUGCCCAGAUGGGAUUAGCUAGUAGUUGGGGUAAAGGCUCACCUAGGCGACGAUCCCUAGCUGGUCUGAGAGGAUGACCAGGCACACUGGAACUGAGAAACGGUCCAGAGGACGAGGGGAGGCAGCAGUGGGGAAUAGUGCACAAUGGGCGCAAGCCUGAUACAGCCAUGCCGCGUGUAUGAAGAAGGCCGUCGGGGUGUAAAGUACUUUCAGCGGGGAGGCGUUACCCGCAGAAGAAGCACCGGCUAACUCCGUGCCAGCAGCCGCGGUAAUAC